UUUUUUAUUUUUUUGUCUAUUUUGGGCUGCACUCAUGGCAUAUGGAAGUUCCUAGUUGAAUCAGAGCUGCAGCUGAUGGCCAACACCACAGCCAUAGCAACACAAGAUCCGAGCUUCAUCUGUGACCUAUACCAUGGCUCAUGGCAACACCAGAUCCUUUAACCCACUUAGUGAGGCAGGGAUUGAACCUGAAUCCUCAUGGAUGCUAUUUAGAUUCGUCAGUGCUGAUACACAAAGGGAACUCUCCAUGUGAAUUUUAGAAUUGUAUUCUAUUUCUGUUAAAAAAUGCCAUUGGAAUUUUGAUAAGGAUUGCGCUGUUUCUACAGAUAGCUUUGGGCAAUAUGGGCAUUUUAACAAUACUAAGUAUUUUAAUUCAUGAACAUGGCACAUUUUUCCUUUUGUGACUUGUUUAUUUUCUUUAAUGUUUUGUGGCUUUCAGUCUGCAAGUCUUUCACAUCCUUAGGUUAUUCCUAGGUAUUUUAUUAAUUUUGAUGCUAUUGUAAAUGAGAUUGUUCUUAAUUUUUUUCAGAUAGUUUGUUGUUUAUAGAAAGCUGAUUUUCGUGGGUUCAUUUUGUAUCCUGUAACAUUACUGAAUUCAUUGAAAAGUUCUCAGUUUUUUAAUGGCGUGCUUAGGGUUUUCUUUUUUCUUUUUUUCAUCUUUGGUCUUCAUUUUUCAAAGUAUAGUUGAUUUACAACGUUGUGCCAAUUUUAGGGUUUUCUAAAUAUAAGAUUAUAUUGUGAACAGGGACAAUUUUACUUUUUCUUUUCCAAUUUGCAUGCAUUUUCUUGCCUACUGUUUUGACUAGAACUUCCAGUACUAUGCUGAAUAAAAGUGGGCAUCCUUGCUUUGUUUCUAAUAUUAGAGGGAAAGCUUUCAAUUUUUUGCCAUUGAGUGUAAUAGUAGCUUGUGGGCUUUUCGUAUAUACUAUUUUGAAAGCUUUUAUUAUGUUGAAAUAAUUUCCUUAUUUCUAGUUUGUUGAGCGUUUUUAUUAUGAAAAGGUACUGAAUUUUGUUAAGUGCUUUUUAUUCAUUGAGACAAUCAUGUGAUUUUUAUCCUUUAUUAUGUUAUUUUAGUGUAUAACAUUAAUUGAUUUUCAUAUAUUGAGCCAAUGUUUGAUCAUGGUGUAUGAUCCUUUUAUGUGAGAUUGGGUUCUGCUGGAGAGUGCUUUGUUGAGGAUUUAUUUUUGUGUCUAUAUUCAUUAGAGAUAUUAGCCUGUAGUUUUCUUUGUCCACUAAAUUUUUUUUUUGUCUUUUUGUUUUUUCCAGGGCCACUCCUGUGGCAUAUGGAGCUCCGAAAAGACAAAAAGACAAAAAAAAAAAAAAAAAAAAAAAAAAAAUCAUUUAUCUCUUAAAGGACAUGGGGUGUUUCCAGCUUUUACUAUUAAAAAUAAACAUUAAUGUACAGGUUUGGGUAUGUACAUAGUUUAUAUUUCCUUAGGAUAAAUGCCCAAGUGUACAUAUACUUGGUCAUGUGGUAAGCGUAUGUUUAGUGUUAUAAGAAACUGCCAAACUAUUUUCCAGAGUGGCUGUACCAUUUUAUAUUCCCACCAGCAAUGUGUUAGUGAUCUAGCUUCUCCACAUUCUUACAAGGAUUUGGUGUUACAGUUAUUUUUAAUUUUAGUCAUUCUAUUAAGUAUGUAGUGAUAUUUCAUUGUAGCUUUAGUCUGCAUUUCCCUAAUGAUUAAUGAAGUUGAACAUUUUUAGAUGCUUAUUUUUUGCCACCUUUAUAUCCUCUUUAGUGAAAUGUCUGUUUAUAUCCGUGAUAGGAAGAACAUGGCCUUCCAAAGAUAUUGUGCCAAAUCCCCAGAACUUCAAGAACAUGUUACUUUACACAGCAACGAUUGUUUGCUGAUAUGAUUAAAGGUAUAGACCUUGAGAUGGGGAGACUGUCAAGAAUUAUCCAGAUGGGCUUCAUCUAAUUUCAUGAGUCCUUAAGAGGAGAACCUUUCAGAGGGAGAUGUGACUAAGGAAGAAAGAUCAGAGAUGCAGAGAUUACACAGAGGUAGAAUGUUGCUAGUUCUGAAGAUGGAGAGAGAAGUCCAGGAGCCAAGAAAUGCCCAUGACAUCUAGAAGCUGGAAAGGCAAGAAAACAGAUUUUCCUCUAAGAGCCUCCAGAAAGGGCUGUGGUCAGCCCUGCUGACUCCUUCAUCUUAGGCCAAUGAGACCUGUGAUGUCUAACUGUAAGAAAAAGUACGUUUUUUCAGCAACUAAGUUUGUGGUAAUUUGCUACAACAGCAAUAGAAAAAUAGGAGUUCCAGUUGUGGCAUAGCAGGUUAAGAACCAAUAUAGUGUCCAUAAGGAUGUGGGUUCCAUCCCUGACCUUGCUCAGUGGGUUAAAAAUCUGGUGUUGCCGCAAACUGCAGCAUAGGUCGAAGGUGUGGCUUAGAUCCCAGUGUUGCCAUGGCUGUGGCGUAAGCCAGCAGCUGCAACUCCCAUUUGAUCUCUGGCCUGGGAACUUUCAUAUGCUGCAGGUGUGGCCAUAAAAAGAAAAAAAGGAAGGAAGGAAAAAAAGGAAGGAAAUGCAAUCUCUUUUGCCCAUUUUCUAAUUGGAUUAUUUUUUCUUUAAUGUUGAGUUUUGGGAGUUCUCCAUAUACUCUAGGUAUUUGUCCUUUAGGAUACACGUUUGCAAAUAUUUUACCCUGAUUUGCAGCUUGUUUUUUUCAGCCUUUACAAGGUGUUUUUUUUUUUUUUUAACCAUUUAAGAAUUUUAAUACAGAACGAUAACACAGCUUAGAAAAAUACAAUAAUGGGCUCAUCAAAAGGAAGAAUAGACUCUGCAUGUGUCUGUUUACAGUCCUCUGACUCCAGACAUUCUCACCUGGAAAAUUCAACAUCUGGUGGUCUGCCC
rnacentral:lncRNA from 1 species